UGGCUCUCGCAUCGAUGAAGAACGCAGCGAAAUGCGAUAAGUAAUGUGAAUUGCAGAAUUCAGUGAAUCAUCGAAUCUUUGAACGCAACUUGCGCCCGUUGGUAUUCCGAGGGGCAUGCCUGUUUGAGUGUCACCAAAUUAUCAACCCCUGAGUCGGUUUGAAAACAUCGUCUCUGGUGCCUUGGACUUUGGAGUGUGCCGGGGGGUUGGGAGCUCUCUCCCCCACCCUUCUGCUCCUCUUGAAAUACAUCGGUGGUCGUCUGGGUCACAAGACUCCCGCCUCUCAGCCUGGCGUGAUAACUACUUACGUCGCGGCCAAGGAGAAGGGCUCUCAUGUGUCAGGGACACUGCCUCGAACAGUCGCUCUCAUGCGACGAGAUGCUUUUGAAAAUUUGACCUCAAAUCAGGUAGGAUCACCCGCUGA
rnacentral:misc_RNA from 1 species